AACGAACGCUGGCGGCAUGCCUAACACAUGCAAGUCGAACGAGACCUUCGGGUCUAGUGGCGCACGGGUGCGUAACGCGUGGGAACCUGCCCUUAGGUUCGGAAUAACUCCCCGAAAGGGGUGCUAAUACCGGAUAAUGUCUUCGGACCAAAGAUUUAUCGCCUUUGGAUGGGCCCGCGUUGGAUUAGCUAGUUGGUAGGGUAAAAGCCUACCAAGGCGACGAUCCAUAGCUGGUCUGAGAGGAUGAUCAGCCACUCUGGGACUGAGACACGGCCCAGACUCCUACGGGAGGCAGCAGUGGGGAAUAUUGGACAAUGGGCGAAAGCCUGAUCCAGCAAUGCCGCGUGAGUGAUGAAGGCCUUAGGGUUGUAAAGCUCUUUUACCCGGGAUGAUAAUGACAGUACCGGGAGAAUAAGCUCCGGCUAACUCCGU
rnacentral:rRNA from 1 species